GGACGAUUAGCUCAGCUGGGAGAGCGCCUGCCUUACAAGCAGGAGGUCGGCGGUUCGAUCCCGUCAUCGUCCA
rnacentral:tRNA from 1 species